rnacentral:rRNA from 1 species
UGGCUCAGGAUGAACGCUAGCUACAGGCUUAACACAUGCAAGUCGAGGGGCAGCAUUUCAGUUUGCUUGCAAACUGGAGAUGGCGACCGGCGCACGGGUGAGUAACACGUAUCCAACCUGCCGAUAACUCGGGGAUAGCCUUUCGAAAGAAAGAUUAAUACCCGAUGGUAUAAUCAGACCGCAUGGUCUUGUUAUUAAAGAAUUUCGGUUGUCGAUGGGGAUGCGUUCCAUUAGGCAGUUGGUGAGGUAACGGCUCACCAAACCUUCGAUGGAUAGGGGUUCUGAGAGGAAGGUCCCCCACAUUGGAACUGAGACACGGUCCAAACUCCUACGGGAGGCAGCAGUGAGGAAUAUUGGUCAAUGGGCGCAGGCCUGAACCAGCCAAGUAGCGUGAAGGAUGACUGCCCUAUGGGUUGUAAACUUCUUUUAUAUGGGAAUAAAGUUUUCCACGUGUGGAAUUUUGUAUGUACCAUAUGAAUAAGGAUCGGCUAACUCCGUGCCAGCAGCCGCGGUAAUACGGAGGAUCCGAGCGUUAUCCGGAUUUAUUGGGUUUAAAGGGAGCGUAGGUGGACAGUUAAGUCAGUUGUGAAAGUUUGCGGCUCAACCGUAAAAUUGCAGUUGAUACUGGCUGUCUUGAGUACAGUAGAGGUGGGCGGAAUUCGUGGUGUAGCGGUGAAAUGCUUAGAUAUCACGAAGAACUCCGAUUGCGAAGGCAGCUCACUGGACUGCAACUGACACUGAUGCUCGAAAGUGUGGGUAUCAAACAGGAUUAGAUACCCUGGUAGUCCACACAGUAAACGAUGAAUACUCGCUGUUUGCGAUAUACAGUAAGCGGCCAAGCGAAAGCAUUAAGUAUUCCACCUGGGGAGUACGCCGGCAACGGUGAAACUCAAAGGAAUUGACGGGGGCCCGCACAAGCGGAGGAACAUGUGGUUUAAUUCGAUGAUACGCGAGGAACCUUACCCGGGCUUAAAUUGCAUUUGAAUAUAUUGGAAACAGUAUAGCCGUAAGGCAAAUGUGAAGGUGCUGCAUGGUUGUCGUCAGCUCGUGCCGUGAGGUGUCGGCUUAAGUGCCAUAACGAGCGCAACCCUUAUCUUUAGUUACUAACAGGUCAUGCUGAGGACUCUAGAGAGACUGCCGUCGUAAGAUGUGAGGAAGGUGGGGAUGACGUCAAAUCAGCACGGCCCUUACGUCCGGGGCUACACACGUGUUACAAUGGGGGGUACAGAAGGCAGCUACCUGGUGGCAGGAUGCUAAUCCCAAAAGCCUCUCUCAGUUCGGAUCGAAGUCUGCAACCCGACUUCGUGAAGCUGGAUUCGCUAGUAAUCGCGCAUCAGCCAUGGCGCGGUGAAUACGUUCCCGGGCCUUGUACACACCGCCCGUCAAGCCAUGAAAGCCGGGGGUACCUGAAGUACGUAACCGCAAGGAGCGUCCUAGGGUAAAA